rnacentral:rRNA from 1 species
GUUUGACACCCCGAAACUAAGCGAGCUACUUUAGAACAGCAUAUAGCGCCAACCCAUCCAUAUUGCAAAAUGGUGGGAAGAUUUUAAAGUAGAGGUGACACACCUACCGAGCCUAGAGAUAGCUGGUUAUUCAGAAAAAGGAUUUUAGUCCUACCUUAAGCCCAACUAGCAAUUACUAGACACCCCCCAAUGCUUAAAAGUCAUUCAAAUAAGGUUCAGCCUAUUUGAACAAGGAAACAGCCUAACAUCUUGGGUACUAAUAUAUAACAUGACUAAGUAGGCCUAAGAGCAGCCAACUUCCAAAAAGCGUCCAAGCUUCCCCAUAACAAUUCUUUAUACCACCACUUUUUAACAACCCACAACCACCACUGAAUGAUCUUAUAUUUAUAUAGGAAACAUAAUGCUAGAACUAGUAAUAAGAACUGAAAUUCUCCAAAAUGUAAAUGUGAGCCAAAAUGGACUGCCUUUGGCACUUACCCGCCCAUAUUAAUGUAGCCACCCCAACAAGAAAAUUCUACAACACUUAACGUCAACCUCACACUAGAACAUCUCUGGAAAGAUUAAAAGGGGGGGAAGGAACUCGGCAAAUA